rnacentral:rRNA from 1 species
UCGAACGAAGCAUUUAAGACAGAUUACUUCGGUUUGAAGUCUUUUAUGACUGAGUGGCGGACGGGUGAGUAACGCGUGGGUAACCUGCCUCAUACAGGGGGAUAGCAGCUGGAAACGGCUGGUAAUACCGCAUAAGCGCACGGUAUCGCAUGAUACAGUGUGAAAAACUCCGGUGGUAUGAGAUGGACCCGCGUCUGAUUAGCUAGUUGGUGAGGUAACGGCCCACCAAGGCGACGAUCAGUAGCCGACCUGAGAGGGUGACCGGCCACAUUGGGACUGAGACACGGCCCAGACUCCUACGGGAGGCAGCAGUGGGGAAUAUUGCACAAUGGAGGAAACUCUGAUGCAGCGACGCCGCGUGAGUGAAGAAGUAGUUCGCUAUGUAAAGCUCUAUCAGCAGGGAAGAUAGUGACGGUACCUGACUAAGAAGCUCCGGCUAAAUACGUGCCAGCAGCCGCGGUAAUACGUAUGGAGCAAGCGUUAUCCGGAUUUACUGGGUGUAAAGGGAGUGUAGGUGGCUAGGCAAGUCAGAAGUGAAAGCCCGGGGCUCAACCCCGGGACUGCUUUUGAAACUGCAGGGCUAGAGUGCAGGAGGGGCAAGUGGAAUUCCUAGUGUAGCGGUGAAAUGCGUAGAUAUUAGGAGGAACACCAGUGGCGAAGGCGGCUUGCUGGACUGUAACUGACA